rnacentral:rRNA from 1 species
AUGUGAUCGUCUCUCGCAUAUCAAUAAGCGGAGGAAAAGAAACUAACAAGGAUUCCCCUAGUAACGGCGAGUGAAGCGGGAAGAGCUCAAAUUUGAAAUCUUAAAGGGUUUCCCUUUACGAAUUGUAGUUUAAAGAAGUGUUUUCUGUUGAGGUUUUGGUAAAAGUUCUUUGGAAUAGGACAUCAUAGAGGGUGAGAAUCCCGUAUUUGACCUUUACUUUCAACUUUGUGAUACACUUUCAAAGAGUCAGAUUGUUUGGGAAUGCAGUCCAAAAUGGGUGGUAAAUUUCAUCUAAAGCUAAAUAUUGGCGAGAGACCGAUAGCGAACAAGUACCGUGAGGGAAAGAUGAAAAGAACUUUGAAAAGAGAGUUAAACAGUACGUGAAAUUGUCAAAAGGGAAGCGUUUGACACCAGUGUUGUUUUUCUGAAAAUCAAUUAAAGAACUGUUUAUGCUAAGCUGUUUAGACUUUAUCAGCUAACUGUUUAGUUUUGAGCUUUUCUUUAAUGCACUUUUCAGUUAACAAGUCAACAUCAAUUUCUUUUGCUGUAAAAAAGCUUGAGGAAGGUGGCUUGAGAUUCGUCUUAAGUGUUUAUAGCCUCUUGCCUAUGCAGUCGGAGAGAUUGAGGUCUGCAGCGUAGAUCCUUCGGGGCUAAAUGCAUUUGUGCUAAGUUAUAGCAUUUUAUAGACAACUUGUUGACUAUGAUUUGUCUUGUAGCUUACUCGCUUAUGUUAUUUUACCUACGCUUAGGAUGUUGAUAUGCAUGACUGAUAU